CUUUUCCAAUCCUAGAUGCCGUCCUUCGCCCGCCACAAAUAAAAGACCAUCAAUCCAGUCCCCAACACACCGGAAACAGCGACAAGCCCCUGCCCCCCCGACGUCAUCAGUGGUCGCCUGCAGUUCAGCCCUAUUCUUACUCCCUUUUCCUCGUGGUCCGUACCCAUUUCCAGUCUCCUGUCUCCACGCCGCUAGUAGCUACCCUUUCCCCUUUUUUUCCUCUUUCUGGUUUUGAGCCAGGAAAACGCACUGUGAUUUCCCCCGUUAGCCCUCUCCCCUCCGGCCUCCGGGAGCAGCGGCGGCGGUGGCAGUAGCUACACCAGCUUAGUCCCAGACGCCUCUGCGAAGGUCGCAGCCAUCCAGAAUCUCGCCGCAUCUUUCCGGGACCACACCGGACACAGUAACACACAGCAAGCAUCCCCAGCCGGCUCCAACCUCCAACCAGGGUUUGACCCCGGGAGUUGUUGGGCAUUGGCAGGCCAGUUCAUUCUUGAAGCCCGGCGUCUAUUAUGCCAAAACACAUACAAUGCCUGACCUGCCUCUUUCUCUUUUGUUCGAGGUUGACUCACAAGGUUAUCAAUCAUUCUGAAGUGGGAACUCAUUUUCUUGUGUGAAUAGUUUAUCGUGACUCAUAUAAGCUGCUGGACCAAUUCCGGUCCUCGGUGUGCCGUUUUUGGUGUGUUUGCCUUGAAUUUGUAAUUUUUAAUGUUCUGUAUUUUGUGUUCCAUGCCUAACUCACUGCAUGCCUGGCGCGCAGGGCAUUUACGGAAACAUAAUUUCUGGGUUGGAAUCUCCACUCACCCUUGUUCUGACCAUGCAUUUUGUAAAUAAAUAAGAUUGCAAUUCUCUGGCUUCCUCUUCUGAACAAUGGGUAUAUUAGCAGUACCUACCUCUAGUGUGCUAGUGAGAAGAGAAAUAUUUUGUAGCACAAAGUAGUGUAUUAUUAGUAAGAAUUACGUUUUUUUGAAAUUGACGGUAUUGCCUUCUCACCUAAGAUACCAUGACCAAUAAAUAAUAGGUUAUAAUAAUGACCAACAGAGGAGCUUUGAUCUAGACAAUAAGGCCACGCUUUUGACCCAUUGUUAUUUCAUUCAAUAACAUUUUCCCUUAGCUGCCCCAUUGAAAGUGUACUCUCUGGUGGUCAUUAACCUUGCAGAUCUACCAGUCUGGUUCCUCUAUUGUACUUUAAGAGCUCAAAAGAAAAAUAGAUUUCUGUUGUGAUAGUAGUAGAUCUGAGUCCAGAGGCACCUGCUGAAAUACUAGUUCUUGUUCCAAGGCUGAUGAAUUCGACCAGGGACAUAAAGUUAGAAGCAGAAAUGGAGAUUAUUUAUUACAAAGGAAAAACACAAGAAUGAGGAUGAGCUAGUGAGCUGCAGGUAGAGCCCCAAAAGUGCUGGAGCAUGAAGCCAUGUGACCCUUUGUGGCAUAUUUACAUUGCACCCUGCUCUCCUAUCUGAUUGGAACGCUGACCUUUUGCCGUGUGCUCUGUUUGUUCAAUGAAGCUCAGAAGAAGGGCUUGCGGUCUUUCUCUGUCAAAAGGCUUUCUUUGUGUGCUAGUCUUGAGGUAGCUUUCUCCAAACCUCUAUUCUCCUGCCACAGUAUGAUUAACAUAAAGUGGUACUGGGAAUUGAGCCUAGGGCCUUGCACUUGCUAGGCUGGUAUUGAUCCUGCUACCCAUGGCUCCUGAGUUCUGGGAAUAUAGAGCUGCACUACGACACCCAGGGAUGCCCAGUUCUUAACAGGACACUAUCCACUGGAUCCAGUUGAGGCUCCUAGAGAUGUCUGGUUUUGUGUCCUGUUUGAAUUCCUUUCCCAAUGUGAGCCUGGAAAAGGAGGACGAGAAUGCUGAGCACGGCAGUCCUAUGACCAGGGCUUUACCAGCAUCCCUCACACUGCCCUGAGAGUGACUUUGUGCAAGGAAAACUGGUGGUGUAAGGGUGUACACCUAUUUACGCUGAGGUUGGCACUGCCAUACCGACACUAAAAAAGGUCGUGUCAUUUGGACUCCUUGAAGACAAAGAGGGAUGGUCCUAGAUUCUGUAUGAAACCCACUCUCUGCCAUUGCUGUAGUUGGAAGGUGUGGAAGUGGUGAGAUGUAUACUGGCAUUUAUUUAUUUAUCUACAAAAAGGAGCCUAAAGUUAGCACCUGUGGUAGGGAGUGGAAACAUGAUUAUUGUGUAGAAUUACACAGAUAUACAGUCAGAGGGGUUUCAGGAUAGCUACCACUUGUGACAUAGUUGAUUUUCAAAUAUUCAUUUUUACAUAAAAUGUUCAGCAACAACAUUAUAUGACAGUGCUUUGGUAUGGUGGACGUCAGGCCAAUAUUAUGUUCUAACAGCUUUCCUAUAACUUGCAUACAAUAAAAUCUACCCAUUUGAAAGAUACAAUGUGAUGACUUAUAGUAAUAAACAGAGUGGUGCAACUGAGGUUUAGAUGUUUCCAUCACCCUCCGAUGUUCCAUCCUGCCUCCGUUCAGUUAAACCCCAAUUCCCUCCCUCAACUUAGGAACCACAAAUAUUCUUCAUGUCUUUACAGUUGCCAUUUCAGUCAUUGCAUAAGAAUGGAAUUACACAACAUUUAGUCUUCCUUUUUAUUUUUACUUUUUUGAGACAGGUCUCAUUGUAACCCAGGCUAGCCUUGAACUCACUAUCUACUUGUAUAUGACCUUGAACUCCUCCU